UUGGUGCAGCUGCAGUAGACGGGUGUCCACAGGGGAUUUGGAGCGUGAAUUGGCAUUGCCAGUCCGGUCGUGUCGGAACACGUGUGUGUGUGGUGUUGUUGUUGUUGCAGUUUUCUAAAGCGCGAGUGGGAGGAUAACCUUGGGGGUGUUUGAGGUGAACAUCGUAGCUGCAUUCCGAUUGCAAUGGCAAUCUUUCAAAGUCAUGUUUCCUAGGGAAGCAUUUCGUAAGUGUUUCAUAAAAGCUUUACGUGCCAUACUGAUAAGUACGUGGACUUUACUGUACUCUACUAUCGCUCACUCUCUCACUCACUGACAAGACACAUGUUCCAAAUAUCUGCAUCCUUAUCUGUACCAUAAUCUUCUCGCGACGUCAAUAAAGUAGUAAAGUUACUGCCUCCGCUGACCAUGUAAAGCUCGUGGAUGCUUCCGGAUAACAUUUACACCAGAUAACCCAUGUGCAUGGUACAGAGCAUGUGUACGACUCAUUCCAGACAUUCCUCUUAUCCACUAUCUCAUGUCCCAGUUUCGUCCCUGUUGCCAUGGAUACAGAGCAUACACUCUUGAAGGUGCGGCAUGUGUGCUGUGCUCGUGUGUGUGUGUGUGUGUGUGUGAUGUCUGUGGCAUGGACCCACGGGAUUAAACUUAAAAAACUGCUCACUUGCCACGAUGCAGCCGGUGCUUUUGUGAUCCAUCGCACUCAGUUUGCUCUCAAUUAAAGGCAUGAAUGGGACUGAAGGGCACUCUGAGUCGACGAGUAGGUACACGGAAACAAACAGAACAACUUAAUGAUGCUUUAUAACAGAAAGCCAGUGAGAAAGUGCUCCAUUAUUGCGAAUACAAUGACGAUAAAUAGACUGAUCUAAUGAAUGAAAAUGAAUGUUUGUCUUUAGUAUUCUGUACUCACAGCAUUUCACAAAUUUAUCUCACACAGCAGGCAAUUUCGGGGGAAAAGUGCUGGAGUUAUUGCAACGCCAAGUGUCAUCUGGACCAACAGUAACAUUUCAGGCAUUUUAGAAAUGCAACAAAUCACAUGUAAUGCUUGUGCAAUAAACGGUUUGUAGACUGAGAGAGAUAACUAACACUCCAUGAUGGUAUGUGGGUCAGAUGAAACCAGAAUGCAGAUGAACUCUUCGCUCUGCACUACCUUCCUACUUAAACAUAAUCUUCUCGGGAAGACGUGCAGUUUGAGACGAAGCUGGUGUUAUUUGCGCAGUGCACAGAUGGUAUACGAGGUUACUGAAGGUGAAAGGCAUAAAAAAAAGAUAAAUAUUGAAUUUUGUUACUGUACAAGCUGCAUAACUGAGUCGUACGGACGUGAAAUACAACGAGUGUAAUGAAUGUGCUGUAGAAAUGUUGGUGCAAGGUCUUCAUAAGGUGACACCACCACAAGCCAUUCCUUGACAUACUAUACAUACAGAAACCUACAUUACCGGUUCACUAGCUUUAAUAUCAGAACACUUGAGGCAAGGAACACAUUUUUGUCGACUAAAGGCUAGAUAGUUUAACCCUUUUUUAACAGGUUCACUGAUGUUUAUCAACUCAACAAAGGAAUUGUUUUCUGGCUCCAAGUCUGAUAUAAAAUAAUUCAGGAGAGGUUUGAAUAACCUUACACAAAUUGUUAGUGAUUGAAGAAACGAACAAGCACAAAUGUGUUUGAUAUCACCAUUUAUUUCAAAGACACACACGUUAGUGAGGGAAAAAAAUAACCGUUCUUGUGUUUUUAGAAACUUUUCUAUGGAUAUAUUGUUCCAAGCAAAAACAGAAAUAUUUGUAAAACACUACAAAUUCUUAAAUUCCUGAGUGUCUACCUUCCUUUAUAUUAACCACCGCUGUGGAGUGAGACAUGACAAAGACAUUCAAUGCUCAAUAUGGAUACAACAAAAACAGGUACAAAUAAAAAAAAAUGGUUUCUGGUAAAAAGUUAACAGUAAGUGAAUCAGUUGCUUGAAAAUGUUUUAUUUUUAUUUUUAUUCAGCAUUUGUUGUUGCUGUUUUAUUCAACACACUCUUGUUUUAUAACUAGGUUUUCAUGUUUUGUUAAGAAAGCUGACUUCAUUUACUUCUUUUAUUUAAAAAAGCUGCUUAAGUCUUAUCACACGCUUGGGAAAGGGUUUGGCCUUGUUACUGUCCAUGCACAUAAAUCCAAAUAUUAUAUAUUCCUCACUGUACUUACACAACUUUUCCCCUGGAGAUUUUGUUGCUGGUGUAAUUUUCUUUUACUGACAGCAUGACUGUCCAUUUUAAGUGAUUUUAAUGAGUUCUAAAUACCAUGAAGCUUUUAGCAAUAAAAAUGAUUUAGCUUGCUUACGCCGUCAGGUUUUACUCUCAUAUGCUAAGAACUUUUAUCUCAUGGCAUGAACCAAGAACCAAAUUCAAACGAGUUCUAUUGCUUUUUAUUUAUGAAGUUAUCAUAAAAUGGUACGGUAUUAAUGCAAUAUCACAACAAACACCUAAAAGUUCAUGAAACUCCGCAUUACAGUAUCAUAAUUUCAUCUGCUAAAUCAUUUUGAUAAAAACAAAAUGAAUCACACAUCUCCAGAGAAAAUAAACAGAGCUUACGUUACAGUGUUUUAGCAAAUAAUCCUAAAACUCUUGUAACUCAUAUCAUAACACAAACUAAUUUUAGGAAAUAUUGAUGAUUUGACUAUAUAUGAAUAUGAUAUAUGAAAUAAUUACAGAGAGUUUGUGAAAAGUCUACUCAUUAUUGUGUUUGUAACAUUAACCAUAACAUUAAUGAUAUGUUCUGUCAAAAAUACUUGUAUGUAUACAGUAUAUGUAUGAAAUAAAAUGUGUUUGGAGAUGAAUUCAUGACUGGGUGACUGGUAACAUGGUGUGAUGCGAUAUGAUGUGCUGUGCUGUAAUGUGUUGUGAUGGGAUGUGAUGCAAUGUGAUGUAAUGUGAUGUGACAAUGUGUUGUGAUGAGAUGUCAUGUGAUGCAAUGAGAAGUGAUGUGAUGUAAUGUAAUGUGAUGUGAUGUAAUGAGAAGUGA